AAGUCGUAACAAGGUUUCCGUAGGUGAACCUGCGGAAGGAUCAUUAACACGUGAUACACUUCACGUUUAAACUUAACCCGUAGAAAUGUUUAACUGUCUCACUGAUAGAACGGUGAUGAGAGAGGGAAGGGUGUGAAUAGCGAUAGCUAUUCUAACUCACUUGUCUAUGGUCCAGACUCCGGUCUGAGGCCAAAGCUGAUCUAUCAGUGUUAUUUCCUGUUCCAGACUGUGGGCCCGCACCUUGGACUGCAUCUGGAACAUAUGUUUUUCUUUUUUCGUUUAAUCUGAUAUGAGCACUCGCUCGUGAAUUCCUGACUUGCAAAAGUUGGUUGAGUUCGCUUGAGCUUGUGUACUAACUAACAAAAAACAACUCUUAGCAACGGAUAUCUUGGUUCUC
rnacentral:misc_RNA from 1 species